rnacentral:lncRNA from 1 species
AUUUAAUGGAUGCUGAAUUCUGUCAUAAAAAGAUGCUGAAUUUUGAAGAUUUUAGCAGGUCUUGGCUUAUCCGAAACCGAAAAUUUUGAAACCCAAGAACCAAAACUAGAUUGAUUAGCCUGCUACAUACAGGCGGCCUGGCGCGUCUCGAUUGGUUUUUGCUCACCCCUUUUUUGGAUGAUAGGAAAGAAAGCUUAAGUUACAAAAUAAAUUUUCCAUUCUAAAGUAACACAAAGAUUGUGGUAUUUGUGUAUAGAUACUAGUGCUCUAGUGGUGGCCACGAGUAUUUAAGUUCCACCUUUGGUGGGUCUGGCUGAGUUUUCCCCUCCAGGUCUCAAGUUCAAGUCUGGGUGAUAGGGGUUUCUCAUUGAGAGGUUUAAAUUGGGGAUCUAUUGUGCGAGGGGGCUCUCUAGUGUGGACCCGGUUAAGACAACGUAUGCUAGACCUCCCGACAUUCGCGAGUAAUUCACACCUUUCAAAAAAUAAAAUAAUAAAUAAAGAAUGUGGUAUUUGUGUAUAGAUGCAAAACUUGUAGCUGCAUGAACAACAGAUAGGUUGUUUUAAAGCAGAUGAAACUUUGGUAUUAGCAUGAGAUUUUGUUAGGGAUAUUUUGGUUGUCUGAAAGUUGGCAGGCAUAUAGUUUGUCUCUUUAUUUGCAGAAGAUAUUAGACUACUCGCUAUGGGGGAGUCCAAGCCCCGUCGAGGAGCGGCGCCUCCCCUCCACACAGAUAGGUUUACAGGGUCGCGCGUUUAUGGUGCUAAGGAAGAUGUUCCAAUUUAAGAUGUGCCAAUCAGUCACGCGAACAACCUGGACAGAUUUCAUUUGAGGCAUUAAACACUCCAGCUAAAGGCGAGCCAUCACCAUUUCUAGAAUCAGAAGAACUGGAGUCAGGCAAAGUUCAAAAAGAAGCUCGGAUCUCAUUAAUGCUAGGCGGCUAGUCAUUGAUUGAACUGUUCACAACUUGAAUUUGGUGGCCGGUCAUUGAUUUUGCAAUCAAAUCUUGGAGCAUUCCACAAAGGCAAAACAACCGAAUAUAAAUUUACAGCACUUUCAAGUUUAAAAGCAAUGAGUAUAUGGAUUUGAAGACAACAACCAAGAAUUAGUUCUUAGUUUAUGUGUAGAGGCAUUCCCUUUGCAACUUUUGUAGAUAGGUUUUGAUUAGAAGUUUAUGUCUUUAAUUAGUAUUUAAGUUGAAAACUUAUGUAUGGAUUUUGGUUUAUUAUUGUUAAUAUCAUUUGGUUUUUAGGUUUUCU